CCACUCGCCCGGAGCCUUUUACUUGGCCGCGUUGCCCACAGCUACCUCGACCUCGCGUGCCGGGUUUGCGAGCUUUCAGGCUUCUGGAGUCCACUUUGUCUCUAGAGUGGCUAGAAACCCCCGAAUCACAUUUCUAGAGUCAGCCCUAACCAGCCACUGCCAGGAAGGAUACCCAGGUCGUAUUGGAGGACGGAACGACCAGGAACUUGGCAUGGUAUGCCAGCCCGCUGUGAGUGUAUGCUUUCUGAGCAUGGAUAGCCCCAGUGACCCCUCUCACCUGCUGUAUCUCCUUUGGUGGGGUGGGCAGAAGCCCUCGUCUGGCCAUCUGUGGCAGUGUCUCUGCCGAGGCUGAUGCUCCACAGACCCCUGGAAUCUCCACAUUCACUGACGUCUUAGGUGUGUGUGGCCUGUACAGCUUGCCUUCGUCUGGCCCCAGCUGUUCUCUUUCUCCUCUCAUGGGAUACUCCCCACCCUCAAGAGCCAGCCUUGCUAGCUGUGUUUUCCUCAGGUCUUAGCUGAGCAUAAUCAUCCCCCAACACACUGAGUGGGACAGACAAGAGGCCCUCUUGUUACACCAGAGGAAGCUGACCACAUCAAAUCACAGACAAGGUAUGUAGCCAGAAGUCAGAGGUGCAAGGGACAGAGCUCCCCGUCAGCUACAACCACCAUUCCCUUCCUAGAGGUUUCCCAAAGGCAUUCGGUACCCCUGAACCUACAAGACAGUAUAUAUACCCCCAACCUACUGGUCCCAGGCGGGCUUCACAGAACCAAGGGUCCUUGCAGCCCUGCCCACAGUGCCUCACGAGGAAAUGUGGUACUUUCUCAAGCCAGUGAGGCAAAGGUCACUGCUAGGGAGUUAAAUCUAGGGGCAGCAUCCCAGAUUUAAAGAGCAAGCCAUAAGGAAGGCUGCUCUCCACUUCCUCUGUGUGUUACCUCAUCAAAGUGUGAUGUCUAGGGCAUCCCAGCCCACAGGCAAAGCCGCACCAUAUACCAGUGAACAGAGAAACAACUGCUCUCCUCAGGCCGCUGAGGAGCUGAAGCUGCCAGCCCCCGGGCUCUCUGGAGCGUUUCCAUAGCUCAUGGCUCCCAGCUGAACACAGCCAGUCAGAUCUACUCCCGUUUCUGCUGCACCCCCAUCUCUCCCCUCUGUGCUUGCUGUGCAGUAAGUGUGUAAUAUUUGUGAACGUGUAGUGUGUCGGUGUCCCCUGUAGCAGACCGGGCAAUGAGACUUAAUGUGUCAUAUGAAGGGAGUGUUCCAGGGGACACAAAUAAGGGAGCAGAUAUAGGACAAGGGUUGGUGAGGGACAGCACUGGAGCUGGGCUGUCCUCACCCCCACUCUUCAGUAUCAGGCCAUGGCGUUCUCCAGGGACACAGGCACCCAGGCCUUUCCUCAGAGCAGCGCAAGCGACACUGGUCAGACUGUGUUGAAGCAAUAGCAGGAAGCAGCGAGGACCUAGGUGGGGCGCCAGCACUGUGUCUGUCAGUACAACUGUCUGUCUGUCUCAGGUAGGGUUUCUACUGCUGUGAUGAAACACCAUGACCCAAAACAACCUGGGUAGCAAAGGGUUUACUUCACGUUACAGCUCAGAAUUCCAUCACUGUGGGAAGCCAGGGCAGAAACCUAGAGCAGAAGCCACAGGGGAACAAUGCCUAUGGCCUGCCUGUUCCUCGCUCGUGGCUUGUCAUCCUGUUUUCUUAUACCACCUAGGACCACUUUCCCAUGGGUGAUACUACCCACAGUGGGAUGGACCCUCCAAUUCUCAGUCAAGAAAGUGCCCGGCAGCACAGUAUCCAACAGACAGCAAAGCCAGGGCUGCCUCCAGACCUGCUGUCCCUUUCACCAUCCUUCCUAGGACCAGAGGGGAUGCCGCCUGCUCAGGAUGGACUCUAUUGAAAUGUAAAAUACACACUUUGCAUAUCAAAAGCAUCAUUGUGUUUAGCUAUGCAUCUCCAGUUUCUUCUUGCAAAACAUUGAAACCUAGCUCAUAAUUUGAUGAUAAAAUAUUGAUUAUUUAUUGACAGCCACAUGCAGAGGUCCAUGGCACAUGAACGGGAGGCCCACCCUGCAUUAUCUGUAUUUUAAGUCAAUAUGAAGAUGGAUAUUCUACCCCUGAGAUGAAUUUUGUUAAAGUGCUUUUGUCAAUAAAAAGACACUCCUGUUAGAGUGUGCCAACUCCUGCUAUUGGCCUGGGGUCUGCUUCUCCACACACCAGGCGGCUCCAAGAGAGGCUUCCAACCUCCAGCAGCUCCUGGUCAGUCUGCAUAUUUCUUUAAGCCAUGUGAGUGAAAAAUAUCAAGGAAUGGUGAGUUGGCAUUCCAGGUGAGAGAGAAUGAAAAGAAAAGCGAACACAACUUAUAAACAAAUCUGGGAGAGCUUCAUCACCAUCCAUAGCAACUGCGUGUCUUCUGCUUCCAAGAUAGAAGAGCGGAAGUGUGGACCAUCUCUGAGCGUCUGCCCUGACUGCCUACCCAGCAGGUAUUGCCACCUGAAUCUUAGACGUAACCUCUUUCAAAUCUUUUUUCUUUUUUACUUCUAAAUUGUUUAUUGGGUAUGAAUUUUAUAAGCAUUACCUGUAUUUGCAGUAAUGGUAGAGCUGAAGAGUAUUCUAUGUCCCCAGGCUGCACGGUGAGAGCCACCAAUAGUGUGGUAAAACUGGUGUGACCCUUUUCAAGGUCACAGAUGUCAGCUCAGGCAUGCCUGUGUGUGUGUGUGGACUGGUUUGGUGAUCCAGUGGGUGUCGGGAUUUUUUUCUGCUAGCCUUACAGAAAGGAUUGCUUCCUUCCCAUCAGAAAGGGAGACACAGAGGCUCAGAGAUCUUAGCAUCAUUCACUCCUUAUAAUGCCCAAUGUUUGAAUGCCGGAUAAAUUUACCUAUCUGCUUCAUUGAUUCAUCCCACAAAGUGAGCUGUGACAGUGCAGUAGGACUCCGGGAUUUACCAGUGAACCAAACAGGCAUUCAAGUGGGCUCUCAAGAAAUAGCUGUAAUUAUUAAGGGCUGGCUAGACUGGGUUAGUCAGCCACUGCACUAGAAGGGAGGAAGCAAUAUAAGACUGAAAGUUCCAGUUUUAAACAGAGAGCUUAAAUCUGAACCAAACUGUGAGAGGGUUAGAGGAGUCAGAGGAACAGCUGUAGAGGAGAGGGAAGGAAUUUCCAGGCACUUACGGGGGCAAGCACUCGGGCAGGGAUGUGCCUGACUUAUUUGAAGAAAAAUGAGUGUCUGGGAUGAAGUGAGUUGAAUGUUCAUGGUUAAAUUAGAAGAAUGAGACUAAGCUUCCUGCAGUCCAUUUACCCCGCCUGCACCUCACAGAGUCUCUAGGAAGAGUAUACCAAGAAAGGACAGCAGCCUGGACGCAGCUGGCAGGGAGCAACAAGCCCGGGAGUUUUCAGGUAAAGAAGCCACUUGUAACUAGCAGUGUCCUGAUUGGACUCAGACAUACAAACUUGAGGCCUGGGAAACUUGUGGUGGGGUUAGAAAGACACCCCCUCCCAUUGGCUAAUUCUGGGGCCCUGGGAAACCCUAGCCUUGGGGCAAAGUCUGGAGUCUGUCUAUACAGGGAACCUACAGCAGUGGCAGGUGAGAAGAAAAUUUCAAAUUUGCAAUUUUCAAGUGUCAGAAUGAUAUUGUUCCACUCAUCUGAUGCCUGGCCUGAGAAACAGGUCCUCCUGGUUUCCAUCAACACGUCUGCUGGGUGAGGGUGGCCUUUGCUCUCUCAACCAUCCAGACCCUGACUAAGAAUGCCCGCUCCAACACCGGCUACCAGAGUACCCCACCCCAUGCACCCAAGGACAAGACCUAAGGUCUGCACAGUACUUCUAGAAGAUUCUAUUCUAAUCAGAGGCUCUCCUAACACCUCAGUUCAAGGUAUUGGAGAGACAGAAACCCACAGGUUAUCCUCUGAAAGGCAAACACAGGGCCCAGACUCCCCACCCAGGAAAGAUCAAUAUUCACCUGUGAGCAUUAUGUGUGGCCCAUGACAUAAGACCCUUUAUGCAACAGUUUGAAAGCAAGAACAGCCAAGAUGAGCAGAAAGAGAGAUAUUGGUCCUGGCAUGAGCAUCUAAGACCUUAAAGCCCGUCCCCAGUAACACAGUUCUUCCAACAAAGCUAUACCUCGUAGUGUCAGCCAGCAUUGAAGUGUCAGUUAUGUGGGUGAACCAUGAUGAAGGGGAUCCUCCCAGCCCACUCAUCCUCUGAAUGAUAGCAGCCCAGGUACACCUGCGCCUGCAGGCUCUCCAGGCAGAGCCACCCGCUGCUGCUGCCCUGAACUUAUACCCAGCAAAAGAUAGGGUGUCCAUUAUGCAGUCUCCCCUGACACUGGUGUCAGCGGAACUGUUAGACAGCAGUAGACAAUUAUUCCAAGCAGGUCUCAUCUUGAUGUGGUCACUUCUCAGACAACACACGUGAGGUCUUCCCCCCACCACCACACCACGUAUGGACUUCUCUGCAAAGCCCCCACAGAAGCCACUUGCUCUGUAUGAAACCUUGUCUUCAAAUAUGUGUAUAGAGUUCCAAGUCCUCAGAAGUUCAGACAGAAGAACUGCUGUGAGUUCUAGGCCAGCCUAAGCUACAUAGUGAACUUCACAUCAGCCUGGGCUACAGAGUAAAAUCUGUCUCCAAAAACAAAACAAAUGCUAUCUACAGCUGUCUCUUCCCUGGACUCUUAGGAGUGUUGCCCCCUCUAGGAAGCUCACUAGAUCCAGUCAGGGAUCCUUCCUCCACAUGCCUACAACCGUACUCUCUUGUUGUCCCUUCUUGGAAGACUUGCCACAUAGCCUCAGAGGGCCAGAGCCAAACAUGUUUUUUCUCCUAAGUGUUAGCUACUAGGAGGCUUGGUUCCACUACAGAUGACUCGCAGAGCUUUGUGAUCAGAAGACUUCAACACUAACCUAAGUUUUUACUCUCUGUAGGAUUAGUCAGUGAUAGCCUGGCCCCAUUUUAUCUCCCUGAUCUUAAUGUUUUUUUGCCCUGACUACCUCAUCUGUUUCAUCACUUUAUGUGUGUGGCCUUCUGCAAAUUGCAACAAAUCCUUGGUGACAUGAGGCAGCAUUAGCUCAUCUUCCCUGGUCUGAGAUGUGGGCAGAGAUUCUGAGUGGAGGAAGCAGACCCACUUCUGAGUGGGCGGCACACUCUUGACAUUCCUUUGACUUCUUAUCUCCUGCCUCACCUCCCCAAGGUGACAACAUUCUGUCUGGCAGGUGGGAUGUGAGGAGGGAACGCCCUCAGGAAGUGUAGGCCUCACCACACCUCACCAGCACAGUCAUCUAUAGCUGUUGAACUGUCACACAUGGUCACCAUCCAGAUCCAAGGCUUUUCCUUAAGGAGCCCAGCAACCUAUGAAAGGAGUUUGCCUUCCCUGGAGCAAUGCUAGAUGCCCGGUUCAAGGCUCAACCACACCAAGGGCACAGACUCAACUGUCACUAACCCCACAGCAGGGAAGAAGCACACUGGCUUAGGAUCCCAGGCAAGAUAACGCCACCAACUACAGUGAUCUGGUGCAGAAGAGGAUUUUUUUCUUUCUGCUGGGAGGUUACAUUGUAGCAGCCAUCAUGGUAAGAAGUCAGUGUCUUUAAGAUGAGCCGGCUAAGGGCCUACCUCUAGCUCUCUGACCAGCAAACACUCUUUGAUUUCAGUUAGCUUCUCAUGUCAUGGGCAGCAGGGGAGAGCAUGUGAACAGAAAGGAUGCCAAUGGGCUGUUUUCUGUGGUACCCUUUUUCUUUUUUAUUAGAAAGCCAAGCUUCCGGUCUCAUGUGCAUGUGCAUAUACACACAAACACAGGCACACACACUCACAAGGACUCCGAAUGCUCCAGGUCCCCAUCCAUGGUGAAUAGAAUGUAGAUUGUGAGUCCCAUCUCAUAGGUAUGGAUUGAGCCAAUCCCUAGGCAAAGCCUCCAUGGUUUCAUUCCACCCCUUUGGCACAUGGAAGCCCUAAAGCUGAGUCAGGGUGGGUAAGCACCCAAGAUCCACCCAAAGAAAUGACUCCUGUGCUGGGUAGCACACAUCUUGGAAGGCUAAAGGGCAAUUGUAAGCUUGAGACCACCCUAUGCAACAGCAAACCUCUCCAAAAAACCAAAAAGCAAAAACAACUUCUGUCCCAGGGUUUACAGGAAUAACAUCAGAGUCUGUAAAUUUUUGGUAAAAAUUUAAAAAAUAAGUAAAUAAAAACCCUCAGGGAACCCACACCUUAGCCAGCAAUGGAGCCACACAGACUUCCCCAUUAGACUGGGAAGCUUAAUAUCUAAUACUGUCUUUAUUGUCCAAUCACUUUCUAGCUAUUUUAUUAAUCACACUGGAGAGUCCAAAUUUGUUACUCCUUAAUAAAUACAGUGUGUCUAGUUAACAAAAUGUUUACAAAGACAAGGACCAGUGGGUGGUAAUAAGGCUAAACUUUAUCCUACAGAGCUGAGAACCACCAGGCCACCACCCUCUGGGAGGGAGAAACGGGACAAAGUCACACUUUCUCAAGCCUCAAAUUGCUCUGAAACUUUUAGAAUGUUCUGUAGUUUACGGUUGCCUGUUGUAUCUUGAAUUAUAAAAGACAGUCUCUUUUAGAGUCUAUUUUUUUCUUAAUUCAAUCAAACCACUGUGAAUGAAGAGUCUGGCCCUUAAAGUCAGUAUGACACCUGAGUAUGACGUCAGCUUUUUCAUCUGCUAAGUGGGAGGAAGAGAGGGGGAGGCUUACACAACUGCCCGGUCACAUCAGCAUUUUCUCCUUACUCGAUUGUCUCAAAAGUCUAGUGAGAGAGGUAUUUUUCUCCUUUUAUGACAAAAUUAUUGUUUGGAGAGAGUAAAAGAUUCACCAAAAACAACUGACGUAAAACCAAUCCGACAGCUGGGUUCAGAACCAUGGACAGAGGCAGGGGUCUGGCGUCUUCUAGGUGAGCCAGAGAAGUAAAGAGCGUGGGAGUGGGUGCUGUCUCUCUGGGGAGAAAGGGGGCUGGAGUGAGGUCGACACAUUGCCAUAACUUAUUCUGCCUGCAUCACGCUGGGCUCUUCAGAAUUUCUUCUGUCCUCCCAUCCAGAGGAUAUGCAAUGCCAUUCCCAAACAGCCACCCAGCAUGUGUGUAAGAGUAGACGAAAGGAACAGUUAUCUAAAGCCCAUCGAAACCCACUCUUGGAAGCACCAGUAAUAGGCAAAACCCUGGAGCUCCAUGCCUAGCAGAUGGGUGGCUGUUUCUCAUGUGUAGCCUCCAGCAGGACUCCUUGCUUCUAAAAAUGGUGAUGCUUCCUUUCUCCUUGUGGCUGGCCACCUUCUGACUUGGCUUCUAUAGUUGCUGUGUUUAUCACAUCGAAAUAAAGGAGGAAACUCAGGAGCAAAUGCUCAGAUAGUUAAUCAAGCUAAGUUUGGAGAGGCACGUGUCACCUUUACUCAGACCAGAACUCAGCCCUCAGCAUAUAUAGACAUAUAGAGAAGAUAGUUAGGCAUAUAGAUAGACAGGCAGAUGAUAAAUGGGUGAGCAGGUGGGUACAUAGAUAAUAGGUAGGUAGAUGAUGGAUGGAUACGUGGGUGGGUGAAUGGACAGACAGACAGAUGGAUAUAUAUCAAAGCCUGUCUUCACAGUGCUGGGAUUUCUUGUUUAGCCAUUGGGCCAAGGCCUGCAGAUUUUUAAAAAUUAUUUUUUAUGUAUAUCUGUGCACCCGUGUGCAUCUCUGGUGCCUCCAGAGGUCAGAAGAGGGUGUCAUGUCACCUGGAAUUUCAUUUACAGAUGUUUAUGAGCCUCCUGUGGCUAUUGAGCAUCUUACCCAGGUACUCUGGAAGAGAAAUGCUCUUGACAGUGUCUCUGUCUAGCCCCUCUCAGGAAUAUUUUGAUAUGGAAAUUAUAGUUCCUUCCAUUGCAAGAAACAGAAAGGGCUCACCAGUCUUAAAUAAGAUAGUAAGUCACUGGCUCAUGUGUGUAAGACUGGAUCACAGCAUGACUCAGACUUCAACAUCUUCCCAGGGAUACCUGGACUGUCUCUCAUUCGUGUCCUCCAUGACUGCUCUCAGACAAGCUCCUCCACCACUCAAUAUGGCUGACAACUGCUCCUGGCAUAUGUUUUUAUCAGUGAUCCUAAGAGAUUUUUUUCCCCUCCAUAAAAAUUCCAUGGUAUAUCCUGUUGGUACUAAGUGUCCUAAUUAGGUCCCAUAUUCCAUGUGAUCAAAAAGAUGGUGCCCUUGUCCAGACCUAGGCCAUGGCAGCCCUGGAUAUGGGAGAGGCCUGUUCUGUAUAAUGCAGACAAGCUAAAACAGAUACAGGCAGCUCCCCUGGAAGCCACCAUUACUGCUGUCUCCCAAUGGGGAAGACUGGUGCCAGGCAAGCCUGGACUGACACCAUCACAUCAGCCUUCCUCACGAUGGCUGUGGGCGGGCUGCAGUCAUGUGAGG
ensembl:lncRNA